rnacentral:lncRNA from 10 species
CAUUUCAUAUUUGCAAGUACACAUAAAGGUAUCCUUCAUCAGCAGCACAGUGCUUCCUUUCCUCUGAAUCUGCCAUCAGCUCAGGCAGAUUUCUAAGCAGCAAAUCAGCCUUUGCCAGAACACUGCAGGACACCAGUGCAGCGCCCAGCCUGCGACCAUGAGCUCGCCUGCACCCAGGUGAUUAAAAAGCUUUAUUGCUCACACAAAGCCUGUUUGGUGGUCUCUUCACAUGGACGCGAGUGACAUUUGGUGCCGUGACUCGGAUCGGGGAACCUCCCUUGGGAGAUCAAUCCCCUGUCCUCCUGCUCUUUGUUCCAAGAGAAAGAUCCACCUACGACCUCUGCUCCUCAGACCAACCAGCCCAAGGAACAUCUCACCAAUUUUAAAUCGGGCUCUAGGGGAUGGUAGAGUCACAGGAUGGAAGAACUCUGUGUCCUUGAAUCAUUGCAUGGAAGAGAACUGGAAGUUGCCCAGGAACACCAGCCUUGGACAGUUAUGUGAACAAGAAAUAAACUUCUUUUACAGUGUCA